rnacentral:rRNA from 1 species
UACGUAGGGGGCAAGCGUUGUCCGGAUUUAUUGGGCGUAAAGAGCGUGUAGGCGGUUUGGUAGGUCCGCUGUGAAAACUCGAGCUCAACCUCGAGACGCCGGUGGAAACCAUCAGACUAGAGUCCGGAAGAGGAGAGUGGAAUUCCUGGUGUAGCGGUGAAAUGCGCAGAUAUCAGGAAGAACACCCGUGGCUAAGGCGGCUCUCUAGUACGGUACUGACGCUGAGACGCGAAAGCGUGGGGAGCAAACAGG